UGGCUAAAUGCCGGUAAGGGGAGGCGUCUGAGUCUUUGAUGAUGAACUCUCGGGUCUGGAACUCUGAGGCCCAA
ensembl:snoRNA